GGAAAUAGAAGGCCGCGCCGUUGCUUUCGUCGUCGGUUCGGGUUGGCUUCGCCUCGCCUCCUCCUCCCUCCUGCCGCCGCCCCGCCUGCGCUGCUGCUUGGUUGCCCGCCGCAAAUCGCCACGCCACACGAGUCUGUGGCUGCUGCUUGGUUGGUGACGGAGGUUAGGCGGUGGCAGAUUUUCCCUUCAUGUUUUUUGCCGUGGUUGUGGCGCCCAGUUUCUGCGCCUCAAUUGCGGCGGCGCCACAAAUGAAGUGUGGCUGGCGGUGGCUGCGAAGCAAACUCGUCCAGGCUCCUCCACAUCCGCCGCCAGCGGGCACCGCUGCAAGAAGAUUUCCUGUGGGACCGUCGAGUCCGACGACAUCGGGAUCCAGGCGCGGCCUUUAGAAGCUGCGGUUCUUGAGGGCGAUAGGAGAUGCUGCUCAGGAACUGAUCUCAGGAGGUCUAGUCCCACUCAGCUCCAAGGUGAUCGUUGGUGCUGUUGGUGGUGGCGGCGCUUCCUCAGGUGGGUGCUGAGGCUGAGGCCCCCAAGGAGGAGAAGGAAGGAAGUUAAUUUUGAUGUCCUGUCUGGCACGAGCCAGUGGCUUGUGAACCUGAAAAUUUGUGCUCUUAAAUUGUUACAAACGACCCCGUGUUCCCGGUUCAUACGAGUAUUUGGCUAUGUUGUUUAGAAUCAAAUGUUAUGCUGUGCUCUAUAACUUUCACGGAAGGUUAUGCUGGUUAAUUCGUUGCAUAUUGCAAACAUAUAUUCUAGAGAUGUAUCAUUGUGCUUGUGUGGCAAGUUGAAGUGUCAUUGUGGAUGUGUAA